GGGGCUGUAAGGUGUUCGACAUAAGUUGUUGUUAUUCAAUAAUUGCAAAUCAAAUUCUACCUUUUUCUAUUCCCGUUAAACAUCUAGCUGUUUAAAUUUAAAGACAAUUUAAAGACAAUCUAAAGACUCAAGAGACAAAAAUUUUA
rnacentral:tmRNA from 2 species